rnacentral:tRNA from 1 species
GGCCCUGUGGUGAAGUUCAUGUUGAGUUGCAAGCUCAUCGAUGCAUAUUAAGAUUGUGCCAGGGCCU